CCAAAUGUGCCAAGUGGUGGUUGCCAUGAGCACAGAACAGCACUUUAUUUGAUAUCAUUUCCCGAAGUGUUCUGUUGCCAUAGUAACAGAAUGCUGGUUCUUGAGACACUGAGGAUGUGUCUCUGGGUUCAAGUACAGAAGACAAUGUUCUUUCUUGAGGUCUCCUAGAAGGGCAGGCUGGGACAGGGCAAGGUGACACAGUGAAGGAGAAGCCCUGGGAAAGGGUGAAAGAAUGCAGUUAAUCACUGGCAAGACUGCCCAGGUAUCGGCACUAGAGCUGGAUGGAAACUCAGAAGCCAUUUAAUACAAUUGCCUCAUUUUACAGCUGAAGAAACUGAGGCUGGAGGGGGUGAAUUCACACAGGGGAAAAUCAUCAGAGAUGAAGAAAUUGAGGCUUGGAAAGGGGAAGUGAUUUUUCUAAGAAGGAAGAAAACAUGCAAGCAUGAAGAUGGAUGUGAGUCUCUUGUCUCUGCAGAACCAGGAGAAAACUGGCAUGGCUGAAGCAGAAGAAAGUGCCAUAGACAGCCAUUACAUCUCUCCUGUCAGUAGGACCUGGCUGUCCACAGGAUCACAGGACUUGAACGGGCAGAGUCAGUAAAAAUUAUCUACCUCACCCCCUUCAUCCACCAGAGGGAAUUCUGCUUUUGGCUCAUCCCAGGACUUGAAUCCAUCCCAGACCUAGUGUGAAAAUCCAUGUCUGGUAAGAGGGCUCAUCAGCUAGCUUUGGGAGGGUCUUGGAACCCCAGAACUAAACUAGACCCUGAUGCCCCAGAAGUGUGGUCCUGAAAUUCCAGCUUCAUUAUAGAUGCCAACCUUCCAUCACACAGACCCAAAAUGGAGAUUUUCAGAGAAAGGACAGUCAGAGGAGAACUAAGAGACUGAUGGCGGACUGGGUUACCCACCCCCUAUCCCUAGUCUGCCUGAUUCUGGACUGACGGGCCCUUGAGAUGGUGAAGUGGCAGGUCCUGGUGAAAUGUCAACUCUUCUGCAUGCCUCAUCAAUACUCCAGCUGUGGCUCUUCCUCCCCACCAAUGCGGCCCCACGACCUUGUCCUGAACCUAAGAGAUGGUAGUUUCCCACAGUGCUCCCCCCCCCCCCCCCCGCAACCACCUUGCUUUCUACUGUGCUGGCACAAAACAAAGUGAGGCCGUGUAUUC